AUUUAAAGAUGUCUGCGCCCAUGUGGAAGAGUGAAGUUGAAAAAUAUAUCAAACUUUUGGAAAAUUCUGCAGUUGAAGUCCUUAGUAAUGGGCUUCAAGGGAAAUCUGUUUCUCUUCUUGAACUCGUGGAGAGCAUUGGGGAGCAUUUGACCAGUGAGGACCAUGAGAUCAGGGGACGUGUGAUCAAGUUACUGUCCGAGGUUCUUGGCAAGCUUCCAAUCACUGUCCUUUCACCAAUGGAAGUGAAGACAAUGGUGACUUACCUUUGUGAGAGACUUCAGGAUCACCACUCCAUUCAGCCUCAGGCCCUCAAAGGCAUUCUGACUCUGGUGACAGGGAAUGGAUCAAAUCUCCCUGAGGGGUGUGCCGAUAUGAUAUGCCGCUCAAUAUUCAAAGAGGUUCAGGUUCAAACCCUAUCACAGACAGACAGGUGUGCAGUGUACAACAUUUAUUCCACAUUACUCAGCCAUAAACUCCCAGAACUACAGAAGAUGGGAAAUGAUUUUGUGUUUGGCUUUAUUCAGUCCAUGGAUACAGAGAAAGACCCUCGCAAUCUCUUAUUGGCAUUCCACUGUGCUAGAACCAUCAUUCUGAAUUUCUCUUUAGGUCCCUUUGUGGAGGAGAUGUUUGAGGUCACUUCUUGUUAUUUCCCCAUAGAUUUCACUCCGCCACCCAACGAUGAGUUCCGAAUCACUCGGGAGGACCUGAUCUCCGGAUUACGUGGAUGUCUGUCAGCCUCCCCGGAGUUCGGACCUUUGUGUGUUCCCUUACUUCUUGACAAAAUGCAGUCGGAUGUUCAAAGCGCCAUAUUGGAUUCCCUGCUUACACUGGCUGAGAGUGCUGUUGUGUAUGGAUCAAAGUGUAUAAAGGAGUUCCAGGCUCCUCUCUACAGGUGUAUCAAACAGGAGAUAUUUAGUCCUAGGACACCAGAGCUGGCGUCGGCUGCAGAGACUGCCCUCACUGCUAUGUCAGCCGCCUUGUCCCCACAGCCUGGUCUUUCUACAGAAGAUUCAGAUGUAGAUGUUUUCAUCAAAGAAGUCAUGCAAGACAGUAAGCGUCACUUCCUGGACGAGGACCUACGACUGUUUGUCCCUUCCUGUCGCCUGCUCCUUGCCCUGGCCCUGGGGUCAGACCACGCCUGCUGUGCUGUGGUCGGUCAGACAGUGCCCCUCCUGGAAGAUUUAUACAACAAAUUUACCGGGGCAACCCAAAGAAAACAGAUAAUAGAAAUGCUAGUCAAGUUUUUAUGCAGUUGCAAGACCUUUGCUGGAGGAAAGGCUCCCAAAGUUGUAUCAGAAAUGAUAUCAUCUUCUCUCAAGAUUCUAAUGUCAUCAACAUCACAGUCGAAUGGAACCUUGACCUCAGCUGCAGUUCAAGGUCUAGGUCAAGUUUUGACCUUGCCUGGUGUUCUCACAUCAGAGGAUAUGAAAACGUCCUGUUGGUGCAUUCUAGAGCAAGUUUUGAACUCUGAAGAUAAACUUGUAAGGAGUUCUUGUGUGGAACCUUGUAAGGAGAUGAUGAAAGUUUACCCAGAAAUUUCUACAGAAAUUCUACCAAAGCUUAUAGAGAAAAUUAAUCCAGAAGAAGGAGAGGCCAUUUUGCCAUUUGUUGCCAUUUUUUCUGUCCACAAGAGUGUGAUAUCAAAGACAACUGAACAAUUGUUGUCCAAACUACAGCAAGAAUCUCAAGCCAUGAGUGAGUCAGCCCUACAGACUUGCCUGUGGAUUACAUCGUGUUUAGUAGACAUAUCUGUGUAUGCCAGAGGAAAUUCGGACUGUGUAUCUGUGUUGUCUUUGGAGACUGUGCCCGCUGUUUACAGAAUAUGUGCGUCUAAUGCUGUGUCUGAUAAUUACAGUGACGUCUUGUCUAGUCCCCAAGUACUUCAGACACUGUCUGUGUUCAUCAAAAAUGUCACCACCUUGUUAGAUUCAGGAACGUAUGCCAGACUGUAUACCUUGGUCACAAAGCUUUAUUGUGAGGAUUCUAACAGUGAUACUACACAACAGAAGUCUUUCAGGCCUUUACAGGUGGAUUCACCAUCAGUACAGACUUGUCUGGUGACUCUCCUCACACCCACUCUCUGCUCCAGUCCUAAACAGUUCACGAUGCCCGACAUCCAGAAAUACCGGGAACUACUGACUGAUCUGUCACUCAGAAGUAGCCAUGACUACACCAGAUCUGAAGCAGCCAAAUGUUUGGCAGGAAUCUUAAAUAAAGCUCCAGAUGAUGAAGAGAUGGCAGUGUAUUUACAGCAAAGACGAGACUUUUAUGUACACACCUUGACCUCUACAAGUACGGACACUUCCUGUUUGCAGCAGUGUGUCUGGGUCACAAAAGCUCUUGUCAUGCGAGGCCAUAAGGAGGCCAACAAGUUUGUAAACAUUCUGCUUGGUUUGCUGGACAGCGAGUUCCUGGGUGACCGGGCAGCGGAGGGGGUGGGGGUCGUACUCACAGUGUAUGAGGAUGUCCUGAAUCCGUCCAUGCAUGCCAACAUCCGCAUGCUCUAUAAACAGAGAUUCUUCACCGAGAAUUCUAGCCGCCUCACAGAGGGAUUUCAAAAUGCAUCAGCAGGGACAAAGAAGAACUAUCUGAUAGCCCUGUCCCACUGUCUGCAGUCUCUACCUAAGUCUGUCCUUGUGAGAGAACUGCCUCAGUUGUUCCCCUUGCUGGUCCAGUCCUUGCUGUGUGAUAACGUCCAGUUACAACAGUCCACUAUGGACGCGCUGUGUACAAUGAUCACUGAUGCCCCCGACUUCCUGGUCAAACAUGUAGACUCGGUGAUCCCCCAGCUCCUGAAACUGACCACCUACAAACCAGCAAUGAGAGGUUCUAGUAUACAGGAAGUAACCGACUGGCUCUUAUUUACAGAGGGUGCGGACUUCGGCCCUGCGAUGUUUGCUGGAGCUUGUUUCCCUGCCCGCCCCUGUGAUCUUACCCUACAAACCCCAGGUAGUCAGGUCACUGGAGGGCGUGCUGGAUGACAAGAAACGACUGGUCAGGCUGGAGGCUGUGAAAGCCAGGAACGAGUGGUGUCUAUUGGGAGAACCUGGUGGAAAAAAGUGACCUGAAAGAUAAAUAGAUCUAAAUGAAUCUGUAUAUUAAAUGUAAAUAAACUUGUACAGAUGUAUCUCACCUAGCAUCGCUGAUUUAGCUGUCUAAUGUUAAUAUUGUGGUAUAUGCUGUGGUAUAAAUGUACCUGUAUUUGGCAGAGGCCACAUAUUUGCGAGAUUUGCUUUUAAUAAAUAUGUACUGU
rnacentral:misc_RNA from 1 species